rnacentral:lncRNA from 1 species
CUCUGCUGUCAAGGCUCCUCACGGUCGCUCCUACCGUGUCUCCCGGGUCAGGCUGCACUUUUGUUUUUCUCUUUUCUGCUCUUGUUCGGCCCACGUUCGCUGUGCAGGGCCAGUUUCUCCCUCAUCCCCGCUUCCAGUUAAACUUUGGCCCAUUUUUGGCUUGUCUCGCUCAGUUCUCGGCUGCGUCUCAGGUCAGGGAGCGACCGUAGCGCCAGGAGCCCGGAGCCCGGAGCGAGCCCUCCGCUGGCUGACUCGCCUGUCCCAGCGCAGCACCGCCGCGUCCGCCCUCCGCAGUUGUUAAGGAGCAAGUGCCUCUCACGAGCAGCCUUGAAGUAACAUCUUUGGGAAACGCUAAGGUUCGUGUUGCGCUCCCCGGCCUCUCGUCUGCGGGCGAAUCCCCCGAAAAUCUGGCUGGUGAGAGUCACAAAGGACUCCUCGUCCCCAAGGCGCAUUUUUCAGGAAGAUCGUGACACAGACAAGAAAGUGAAUUUCUUAAGGCAAGUCCCUCCACGCAGGUCAGACUUCCUUCGGUGCCGUUACCAAUUUCCUAAGAAUCAUGAGUGCUCCAAAGGCCCAACUUGCCUUGUCUGGGAUUCAAUUCUACUGCAAUCAAUGACUUGAGAAAUUUUUCAUUCUGAAGAUGUUGCUGGCUCCUCUAAGGGGAGGUGUUUGAAUCACCUGUUAAUAUUGCAGUGAGGCACCCUUUCACCUUUCAAGUUUAGAUCUGGCCCCCUAAGAUUAAAAAUUAGUCCCAAUCUCCAGAACCUGCAUCUGUGUCACCGUCCAUGGCACCAGGACUUGGCUGUGUGAUUAAGGUUAAGGACUUGAGCCAGGGAUUUAGCUCAGUGGUUCCAGUGCCUACCUUGAAAGCACAAGGUCCUGAGUUUGAUCCCCAGUACCAAAAGAAAAAAAAGAAGGUAAAAGACUUGAGAUGGGAGAUCAUCCUGGAUUAUCUGGCUGGGCCCAGUAUAACCACAGGAAUCCUGAAAAGUGGAGAAUCUUUGCAAGGUAUGGUGGUGCAUGCCUGUAAUUCCAGUUACUCAGGAGGCUGAGGCAGGAAGAUUGCAAAUUCAAAGCCAGCCUGAUUCAGUCUCAAAAUAAAAUUUUUUAACAGUGUGGUGCUUACUGCUUGCAGUCAUUGCAAGCUCCCUGAGCUCAUGUUUGGCAAGCACAUGACAGUCACUCGGCUCCACAUUCACCCUGCCACUCGGGCCUUGGCUGAGUGCCACUUGGGACCCGUCCUUGUGAGGGUUCGAGAGGCCACUGCCUCCUUCUGUUUGUGACUAAUUUCCAUCCUCCUGAAUGUCCCACAUUCGUUGCAAAUCACACCUGAUGGGAGAAGCCUGUCUUGAGGGAGGAUAACGUCCUUUCCCCUCGCUGUGGAGACUGAAGGCCCCCGGAGCUUGAGCUCUGAGUGGGUGGUGAAAACAGAGGGCCCAGCCUGCAGGAGGAGGCGACACUGAGCCAGAGCAGGAGCCCAGGCUCCUGAGUCUUUUCCUGGGAAAAUCGAGGGCCUUCGGAGGAACCAUUUCCCCACACCUGCUCAUCAGGACCGAAGUGAUCUUUGACUUUUUCCUUUUUUUUUAUUAAGUUUAUUGGUACAUUUUAAAUGACCACAUUCACCAGAGGGAAUCUACCUGUACAUGAUACAUCUUGGUUCUUAUUUUUCUGCAGAAAAAAAGAUAGUUGGAUCCAUCCACGAUUCCAGCCUGGGUGGGGAUGAAUGGGGACUUUACUCACUUUAUGAACAACCUGCAUCACAGGGAUGUGCAGUGAGAAGUGGGGACAGAGCUGAGUGGGCUCUGGGGGAAUAAACUAAAACCUGGGGCCAGGAAACCAUGUGCAUCCUGUUAUCAAUGAAAAAACACCACUCGAGGACUUCAUCUAGGUGGCUGUCCCCGGCCUCCUGAGGGGUUCAGGACGUAGUACCCAGAAUGCAGCGCUGUGGCAUUUGAGAAGACGACUGAGGCAGGAGGUCUCCCUGACCUUGCCUUCUGUGGCUUCCCUGAACCAGGACGAGCAAGAAUUCUCCGACCUCCUCUGUGGUAGUUCCUGAGACCCUCACCCCAGAAGUCCCUCCACUGGCCCCAAAGACAAGCCAAGUCCUUAUCCUCCUCGAGAUGAGACCACACGCACCAGGCGUGGUAGGGCACGCCUAUAAUCCCAGCACUCAGAAAGCUGAGGCAGGAGGGUCACUGUGAGUGCAAAGCCAGCCUGGGCUACACAAUGAGUUCAUACUGAACUACACAGCGAGACCCUGUCUCUAAAAAGAGCACACAUUUAACUAUUUCUUUGGGUCUUCAUUUACAAAGGCUGUGUUUUUCUCUUGUUAAUCUGUCUUUUACUAGAGGCGCCUCAGCCAUUAGCCUGUCAGUAGGUGACAGGGGAGAAAUCUCAAAAAGGGCACAAUAAUAAGCUUUGAAACCAGAGCACAUCUCUACGAAUAUUUUCUCUCUCGCUCGCUGAUGUUCCUAGCUGUCUUCCACUGUGUGCCUAACCUUUCCACAUCAUGUGUCAGUCCUUAUGGAUCAAGUAAAAUUUUCAAAUCUACAGGUCACUUCCACUAAGAUGCAUAUUAUGGAAAUGUCUGCAUUUUUACAUUUGUAUGAAUAAUUAAAUAGCAUCUCUAGAAACAUAUUCAAAUAAUAUGCUUGUUUUGAAGUAUUAACAGGAAAUAGUUAUAUAUGGAUGCAAUGUUUUUAUUUAUAUGUGACUCUGAGACAAGGUUUUUACAGAAAAGACUGGUUUUAUUGAAAUAACAUUUGUAAAAUUACAGACAAUCUAAUUGCGUGAAAGCUCCCAUUUCCCACCUUUUUAUACAUAGUUUCCAUUUGGUUAUAUUUAAUGUGUACUUUGAUGGGAAACAAGAUUCCAAAAUCCUCCAUAUAGUACAACUAAUAAAUUUGAAUGUUACUUUUUUAAAUGUUAAGAAGAAAAAUAUAAUUGUCUAAGG